rnacentral:lncRNA from 1 species
UCUCUGUGUUUGGUCAGUGCUGAUCUUUUUCCUAACUGGCGACUUAUUGGUUCCAGGAGAGUACUGGGCAGGCUGCAAAUGUCUGUGUUAAAACAGCUCUGCUGGGCUAAGACAGGACAGAAGCAGACAGCAGGUGGAUGAGACACAAUUUCCUAUCCAGCAGAACCUGCAGCAAGCUCCACAGCACCCUCCAUGGGCUCAGUCUUGCUCCCGGGAAGAUGGUUAAUUCCAUCAGCUCCUUCUGGCCGGCAGCAGGAAGAGUGGCCCUGUGUGUGCCAGGCCCUGCAGUCUCUCCUCUCAGCUGGUGUCUCCAGUGAGGGACCUGAGUCAUCGCACACAUGAGCCUGUGCUCAGCCUGCACAUCUCCCGCCUCCCACCAGCUGCUCCUCAACUGCCAGGGCCAGACUGUGGCAAAAUCUCACUCCUCUGCCGAUGCUGGGGUUUCCCUCGUGUCUGGGAGGUGGUGUGCUUGGUGGCCUGAGCACUGCAGUGAAUCCAUGUUUCCCUCCCAGCACCCUGUUCUGUCCUCCAACUUGGCCGACAGCUCUGGCCAGGGACGCAGCCCAGCUGGUGCCCACCCCGCACUCUGUCCAUUUCAUAAGAGCCCUUGGUUUCCUCACUUCCCUCAGAUUUUGCCAAGAGAAUGGUCCUGGUGUGGCCCAGAAAGGCCAGCGGGGUGCAGCCUGGGACUGAAAGCAGAGGCGGCUCUGGUGGGGAAAAAGUAGCUCUCCCAGCCUAGCCCUACUGGUGGGCGGCACCUCCUGGCUCCAGGCCAUCUUUUGUCCCAGUCCUAGGUAAGAAAAACACAAACAAAAGCCAGUCCCAUGGCACUCGAGAAGCAGGAGGCCGUUCCCUGACAGCAACAUGCUGUGUGCACAGACACACGGGUGGACAGGAGGCAGAGCUCGGGGUUGCUGCGGAGCGGGCAGGACACUGGAGCGGCAGGCAGUGCGGACCCGCCGGGCAGCCGUGCACGGUUGUCGUCCUCAGCGGCAGGAGCCAGUUUGUUGCUCAGGGCCUUGUCUUUUUACAAAGAGCCCCAGGCCCCGGGGGCUUCUCUGGGUGCCUCUUUGCUGCCAUGUCUGCACGCGGGCGGAGAGCAGACCAGGCUACCGACCCUCUCGCUUUGCUGUCUUCACGUGGAAAAGCCAGUGUCGUAGCCCCAAAGGAGGGGAAACUGUAUUGAUUUGGGGAGCCUCUAUGUUGAUUUCAAAACAGAUUGUCUCCUGUGUUCUCAAAGACUGGAAGCGAAC